UCUCUCCCUCUCUCUCUGUGUAGUUUAAGUCAUCUCUCCUGUAUUCUGUUUUACUAUUCUCUCUCUCUCUCUCUCUCUCUCUCUCUCGCUCUGUGUAGUUUAAGUCAUCUCUCCUGUAUUCUGUUUUACUAUCUCUCUCUCCCUCUCUCUCUGUGUAGUUUAAGUCUUCUCUCCUGUAUUCUGUUUUACUAUCUCUCUCUCCCUCUCUCUCUGUAUUUUAAGUCAUCUCUCCUGUAUUCUGUUUUACUAUCUCUCUCUCCCUCUCUCUCUGUAGUUUAAGUCUUCUCUCCUGUAUUAUGUUUUCCUAUCUCUCUCUCUCUCUCUCUCUGUAGUUUUAAGUCUUCUCUCCUGUAUUAUGUUUUACUAUCUCUCUCUCUCUCUCUCCCUCUGUGUAGUUUAAGUCUUCUCUCCUGUAUUCUGUUUUACUAUCUCUCUCUCUCUCUCUCUCUGUAGUUUAAGUCUUCUCUCCUGUAUUCUGUUUUACUAUUCUCUCUCUCU
ensembl:lncRNA